AAAAAAAAAAUUAUUAAAAUAUUAAUUUAAUAUAUUAUUUAAAAAAAAUAUUUAUUGUUUUUAUUAGUUUGUUUGAAUAAAUAAAAUUAAUUAUAGAUAAAUAGUAUUGUGAAAGAAUUUUUUUAUUUAUUAAAAAGAAAAAUUUAAGUUUUGUACCUUGUGUAUCAGGGUUUAUUAAAUAAGAUUUAUUUAUUUUAAUUUUCUCGAAUUUAAAAGAGCUAUAAUUAUAUAUUUUUUAUUGUGGAAUAAAUAUUAUUAAUAUAAUUAUAGAAGUGAAAUGCUAUUCGAUUUUAAAUAUAUCUAGUUUUUUAAGAAAAAAAUUUAAUUUUAUUUUUAUUUAAUUAUUAAAUUAAUUUUUUAAUUUAAUAUUAAUAAAAUUUUAUAUUUUUAGGGAUGAGCUUAAAAAUAGAACAAUAAAAUUUAUAUAAUAAUUUUUAGCAAGUAGGAUUGUAAGUUUUUAUUUUUAAUAGUGUGUUAUAACUAACUAAAAUUUAAAUAAAAUUUUUAUAUAAAUUUAUUUUUUUUAUUAAAAUAUAUUUUUUAAUAAUAAAUAUUUAGAAAUAAUGAUAAAAUUAGUAUAAAAAAUUGUUUAAAGUUAUUUAUUUAAAAAGGUUAAAUAAAGGAAUUCGGCAAAUUUAUUUUCCACCUGUUUAUUAAAAACAUGGCUUUUUGAAGUUAAUUUAAGGUCCAGCCUGCCCAAUGAUUUUUAAAUGGCCGCGGUAUUUUGACCGUGCAAAGGUAGCAUAAUCAUUAGUUUUUUAAUUGAAAGCUGGAAUGAAAGGUUAGAUGAGAAAAUAGCUGUCUCUAUUUAAAUUUAUUAGAAUUUUAUUUUUAAGUUAAAAAGCUUAAAUAUUUAUAAAAGACGAGAAGACCCUAUAGAGUUUUAUAGUUUUUAUUUUUAGAGUUUUUAGUAUUAUAAUAUUUAAGUAUAAAAAUUAUUUAGUUGGGGUGAUUGAAAAAUUAAAUAAACUUUUUUUUUAUUUAAACAUUAAUUUAUGAGUUUUUGAUCCUUUAUUAAAGAUUAAAAGAUCAAAUUACCUUAGGGAUAACAGCGUAAUUUUUUUUGAGAGUUCAAAUCGAAAGAAAAGAUUGCGACCUCGAUGUUGGAUUAAAAUUAAUUUUUGGUGUAGAAGCUAGAAAAUUAGGUCUGUUCGACCUUUAAAAUUUUACAUGAUCUGAGUUUAAACCGGCGUGAGCCAGGUUGGUUUCUAUCUUUAUAAAAAAAAAAUAUUUUAGUACGAAAGGAUCAAAUAUUUAAUUUAAAAUUUUAGUUUUAGAUGAUAAAUAAAGG
rnacentral:rRNA from 1 species